rnacentral:lncRNA from 1 species
CUUGCCGUAAACCUAGAACAUUUUGUGCCAUCAGUUUAUGCAUUUGCUGCAAUUCCAGGGCAAUGGGGAAAAUCCUAUUUUAUCCUAACAACAACCAUGAAACUAUACUACUAGUAGCUGACACUUACUGAGUUCUUAUUAAAUGCCAUGCAUGGUACUGAGAGCCUUACAGGCAUUACCUCCUCAAAUCUUCAGGACUAUGAAAUCAUCCCUUAUAUCUAUUUUCCAGGUAAGAAAAUUAAGGUCACCAGCUAUUCUGUAGUAGAGCCAGAAUUCAAACCUGGAGUCUGCAUUUUUAGGUACUAGUGGUGUUUUUCGCCCCAGAUUAUGCAUUUUGGGCAUUGAUACUACUGAGUUUCCAUCUUUAGGUGCAUCUUCGCAGGUAUCAGUUGGAGGAACUGGAGAAGAUGCACUGGCGCUGUGAGACAGAAGUCAUUCUCAGCCAGGAGUGUCAUUUUCUCCUUGGAGUCUCUAACUUCAGGAUUCUGUGAUUUGGCCAUAAAUAAUAAAUAUGGUUUAGUAGAGGUUAAUAAAAUGCUUGUUGAAUUACUGCCAA